rnacentral:rRNA from 1 species
CUACGGGCCGCUGCAGUGGGGAAUAUUGGACAAUGGGGGAAACCCUAAUCCAGCAAUGCCGCGUGUGUGAAGAAGGCCUGCGGGUUGUAAAGCACUUUCGGUUGGGAGGACUGCUUCUAGCACUAAUAUUGUUGGAAGUUGACGUUACCUUCAGAAGAAGCACCGGCUAACUCCGUGCCAGCAACCGCGGUAAUACGGAGGGUGCAAGCGUUAAUCGGAAUUACUGGGCGUAAAGCGCGCGUAGGCGGCUAGAUCAGUCGGGUGUGAAAGCCCCGGGCUUAACCUGGGAACUGCAUCCGAUACUGUCUAGCUUGAGUACAGGAGAGGAGAGUGGAAUUCCACAUGUAGCGGUGAAAUGCGUAGAUAUGUGGAGGAACACCAAUGGCGAAGGCAGCUCUCUGGCCUGAUACUGACGCUGAGGUGCGAAAGCGUGGGGAGCAAACAGGAUUAGAUACCCCAGUAGUC